GAUGAACGCUGGCGGCGUGCCUAAUACAUGCAAGUCGAGCGAACAGACGAGGAGCUUGCUCCUCUGACGUUAGCGGCGGACGGGUGAGUAACACGUGGAUAACCUACCUAUAAGACUGGGGUAACUUCGGGAAACCGGAGCUAAUACCGGAUAACAUGUUGAACCGCAUGGUUCAACAGUGAAAGACGGUUUUGCUGUCACUUAUAGAUGGAUCCGCGCCGCAUUAGCUAGUUGGUAAGGUAACGGCUUACCAAGGCAACGAUGCGUAGCCGACCUGAGAGGGUGAUCGGCCACACUGGAACUGAGACACGGUCCAGACUCCUACGGGAGGCAGCAGUAGGGAAUCUUCCGCAAUGGGCGAAAGCCUGACGGAGCAACGCCGCGUGAGUGAAGAAGGUCUUCGGAUCGUAAAACUCUGUUAUUAGGGAAGAACAAAUGUGUAAGUAACUAUGCACGUCUUGACGGUACCUAAUCAGAAAGCCACGGCUAACUACGU
rnacentral:rRNA from 1 species